rnacentral:rRNA from 1 species
UGAGGAAUAUUGGGUCAAUGGACGAGAGUCUGAACCAGCCAAGUAGCGUGCAGGAUGACGGCCCUCCGGGUUGUAAACUGCUUUUAGUUGGGAAUAAAAAAGAUGACGUGUCAUCUAUUGUAUGUACCAUCAGAAAAAGGACCGGCUAAUUCCGUGCCAGCAGCCGCGGUAAUACGGAAGGUCCAGGCGUUAUCCGGAUUUAUUGGGUUUAAAGGGAGCGUAGGCGGAGAGAUAAGUCAGCGGUAAAAUCGUGCGGCUCAACCGUACCUCGCCGUUGAUACUGUUUUUUCUGAGUGCACACAGGGAUGCUGGAAUUCGUCGUGUAGCGGUGAAAUGCUUAGAUAUGACGAAGAACUCCGAUCGCGAAGGCAG